UGCCGUCGCCCGCCGAAUCCUGCCCCCCACUCCCGGCUCCUCCGACCAGAGGUCCACGGUGGAGGUCGUCGGCCGCAAGGCGCACGGAGCCGUCCCGCAGCCUGGAAGCGUAGUCAUUGCCCGUGAACCGCCGCAGGAACAAGCUACCCGCCUCUCCGACCUCGUCUUCACCGCUCACUCCUCCAGAAGCUCAAGAUGACGUACUAUGUCGUCUACCACGGCGGGGUUC